rnacentral:rRNA from 1 species
UACAGAGGGGGCAAGCGUUACUCGGAAUUAUUGGGCGUAAAGGGCGCGUAGGCGAUUUGAAAAGUCUUGUGUGAAAGCCCCGAGCUUAACUCGGGAAGUGCACAAGAAACUGUUGAAUUUGAGUUCCGGAGAGGAAGGCAGAAUUCCCGGUGUAGCGGUGAAAUGCGUAGAGAUCAUGAGGAAGACCAGUGGCGAAGGCGGGUCUCUGGACAGUUCCUGACACUGAGACACGAAGGCCAGGGGAGCAAGCGGG